UCCCCUCUGGGGGGGGGGGGGAGUGGGAAUCUUCCACAAUGGACGCAAGUCUGAUGGAGCAACGCCGCGUGAGUGAAGAAGGGUUUCGGCUCGUAAAGCUCUGUUGGUAGUGAAGAAAGAUAGAGGUAGUAACUGGCCUUUAUUUGACGGUAAUUACUUAGAAAGUCACGGCUAACUACGUGCCAGCAGCCGCGGUAAUACGUAGGUGGCAAGCGUUGUCCGGAUUUAUUGGGCGUAAAGCGAGUGCAGGCGGUUCAAUAAGUCUGAUGUGAAAGCCUUCGGCUCAACCGGAGAAUUGCAUCAGAAACUGUUGAACUUGAGUGCAGAAGAGGAGAGUGGAACUCCAUGUGUAGCGGUGGAAUGCGUAGAUAUAUGGAAGAACACCAGUGGCGAAGGCGGCUCUCUGGUCUGCAACUGACGCUGAGGCUCGAAAGCAUGGGUAGCGAACAGGAUUAGAUACCCUGGUAGUCCAUGCCGUAAACGAUGAGUGCUAAGUGUUGGGAGGUUUCCGCCUCUCAGUGCUGCAGCUAACGCAUUAAGCACUCCGCCUGGGAGACACCGG
rnacentral:rRNA from 1 species